rnacentral:rRNA from 1 species
UACAGAGGGGGCCAGCGUUAUUCGGAAUUAUUGGGCGUAAAGGGCGCGUAGGCGGCCAUGCGUGUCUCCCCGUGAAAUCCCUCGGCUCAACCGAGGACGUGCGGAAGAAACUGCAAGGCUCGAGUCCGGAAGAGGGGGGGCGGAAUUCCCAGUGUAGCGGAUGAAAUGCGUAGAUAUUGGGAGGAACACCAGUGGCGAAGGCGGUCCCCUGGGCCGGAACUGACGCUGAGGCGCGAAAAGCGUGGGUAGCAAACGGGG